CUGUCCACUGUCCUAUCCUAUCUUAAUCUGCUUUUCCUUUUCCUCAGGCUCAGUGCCCGCCCCUGAGUCUUUGAUUGGCGCUCUUUCCCAAACUGAGCCCCGCCCAUCGCCCCACCAGGCCUGACUCUGCCCUCUGAGGGAAUGAGGAUGGGACUGAAGGGGACAGAGAGCAGGCAUCUGGAGAAGGUGUGGAGAGAUCACCAUCAGAUAACAGAAUCAAUAAAUGUAGGCCUCUUGACUACCAAGAUAAGUGCAGUACUGUGAGAGUUUGACAGUGGGAGAUAUGAUGGAUUGCACAGGAGGUUGGUGGCACCUUAAUUGGGGAGGAUAGGCUCGUGGUAAUGGCUGGAGUGGAAUAGUAUCAAAUACAUCAAACGUGUUUGAUGCCAUUCCAUUCGCUCUGUUCCAGGAUUUAUUAUGAGCCAUCCUCCCCUCAGCAGCCUCCACUGAUGGAUUGAUACAGUUGUAAGGUCUUUCCUUGCAGGGGAUUUGAUUCUGCAGUUGUCCUGAUGGUGGUGCUAUUGGAUCAGUACAGUAUCAAGAUUGAUCAAUGAGAUCACCUCGGUUUACCCAGAUCCCAGAGAACGAGGAUCUGUCCGGCCUGUCGGACGAGAGCCCUGGUCCGAUGACAUCAGAGUUGAGUGAUGUCACUGAGCCAGGUCAGGAUGAUGAGUCAGAGGAGCAGCCUCCAGGGUCCUGAAGGGGAGACGCCACUCAACAGGCCAGGUCAUGAGGAUUACGACUAUGAGAUUAAGAAACUGCUGGCAACCAAAGCCAUGCAGAGGAAGUCGGUGGUUGGCUAAGUCCAUUCCUGCGGAGGCCGUCAAGGAGCUACACAACAUCAGCCGACACAGCUACUAACCCUACCUGGCAAACACUGGACAACUACAACAGGUAGUGCAACAUGUACUGCAACAGGCUGGACCUGUCCUCUCAGUCUCCCCCCAGACAGGGUUUAUUACAAGCCAUUGAGAAGCUGCCCUCUCUGAAUGCUCUGUGGCCAGUCAGUGAACACCAUGCUCAUUUGGAUUAAUAGAUACAGUCUGAUCAUUUCUGGGUUGUUUUGCGUGAGGGAAUUUAGGAGUCAGUGUGAGCGUUUCACCUAAGCGCCUGAUUAUUUGUAGCGAGCUAGGAAAGGCGUUGAGCUGGGUGAGAGCUUGUUUAUUAAUAUGAUUAUUCUCAGUGCUGCUUGGCUCGAUUGGUAUUCCUGCCCUGAGAAAAACAGAGUGGAGGAGAGAAACUGUGAGCACCAAUUACCACCC
rnacentral:lncRNA from 8 species